UAUAAUGAAAGAUUUCUGACCGUACAGGUAUAUUCCUUAAGCUUGGGGGAUAAAACCUGAAGCAUCCCAGAUGUGGGGACUUUGUUCUGUUAAUAAUUGGAGCUGGCAUAGCCUCAAAGCCCAUGGGCUGAAGGUUACUAUAUGUGAGGUUGACCCUUAUCUCUCACUUGUGGAGCAGGUACCCUAUGUGAGGGAGAUUGGAGGCAGGGGCCUCUGUGGUUGAUUCAGCGACAAACUGUUGGAUUGCUUUGUUGCUUGUGUUCCACAAGUCCACUAAUCUGAAGAACACUGGCUGCAAGUGGCCGAGCAAGUGUCUAAGAAAAUCCUGGUCCCAUUAUGGAGAAGUCAAAUAUCACUCUUUCAAUUUCCUUAGCUCGACUUAGGGAUGGUGACAAUGUUGUGCAUUCUCUGUGCACUGACUUCCGCAUCUCUCCUCACAGAUAUCAAGGGAAACUGUGGGAGAUAUUUGCUCUAAGACACUUUCAAAUCCUGAAGCUCAACUCCACAUGGACGUAUGGUCAACCAAAACUAUUCACAAGGUUGAAGAAUGAAAUGGAUGUGGAUUGGAGAUUUAUGUAAGCUGUGUGUGAAAGAGGAAAGAAUUUUCAUGACAGAACAAACAGUGGAGAGCCAAACAGGGGUUGGAAUAUCUUUUACAAAAAGCUCAGAAUUGGCACGGAGUGGGAAAUAAAUAUUUGUUUGUUUAAAGAAAGUAAUUAAAACUUAAUUCUAUGUUAGUUUGUAUAUUGGUAUAUUCAGUCCUUUAAGCGGCUGGAAUUGUUGUUGUAAGUCAGUAAAAGGAGCCACAAUUAGAACGUAGGGUUUUUUUCACUGUCUCGCUGAUCUUUCCUGUGUAACUUUUCAUGCAGAAGUAGUGGCUUGGUUGUGAUCCGCAACAGCAAAUGCUCUGUUUAAAUUCUGCUCACACAACUGACUUUGAACAACACAUUUUGGAACUUAA